AAAGAAUGUUAUGACAUGAAAUGGCAUGACAAGUGACAAAAGUCUUGGCUUCUCAUCAAAAAAAGAGAGAUAUUCAUGGUUAUUUCAAAGUUGAACAAUUCUGGACAUGAUUUGUCAUUGAAGUCAACAUCAUUUUGGAGUGUAUUGCAUUAAAUUUAUUCAAGGGCAAAAAUAUAUAAUGGUUCAACAGGCCAAUACAAAUAUGCAAUAUUAAAUUUACUUAAUGAACAAUAGCACCAAGCAAAUGAUUAUAGUGUUAAAAGUGUCAUGAAAUGCAUCGUUAAUUUUACUUUGUGUUAGCAAGUAUGUUUUAAAAAUUCAUCAAAUUGUUUAUAAACUAUUUGACAAUUUAACAACCAUCAAAAAUCAUCCAGUAUACUUGAACCAGCAACAAACAUCAAUACCAUCUACAUGAUAUGCUUAUGUUUCAACAAUGAUGAGUCCCAGAUAAUGAAAACACUUGAACCAGCAACAAAAUUGAACAAAAUCUUUAUGCUUCAAUAAUGAUA